GAGCCAAAACUGAGCAGGAGUGUUUAUUGGUUUGGCGGCAGAGAAUCUUGUUGAAGUUUGUCUUCCUUCUGAGCAAACAGGAAUGCUGCAGUCCCCUCUCUCUUUUUUUUGUCUGGUCAUGUAGCACCAGUUUCUAAAACAUCUGUGUCUUUAUACUGAAUGGACAGCCUAGUUUGAUGAAAGUGAAACACACUCUUCUCACGUCUGCUAACGUCGGUCGAGCUUGUUUUGAAGGAGUGCUUUCACUGAGGUUUUGCUUUUAAUCUUCCUCUUUAAAAAAAACGUCCUUAUCAGCAAAGUUGCCCCAGUUUUUCCAACUUUCAUCCACGGCAUCUGCUUCCAAGAUGAAAAUUGGGGGAAUGCUCUACCGUCAAGAUCAACAGCAAAUCAAACGGGUAGAACAGAUGAGCGAGCAUGUCAAUCAUACCCUGAAAUCUCUCUGUGUGCUCUCUGAAACAAAAAAAAAAUCUCUGAAGAAUUGCCUGGCUUGUGUGCUUUGUGGGAUGGAACAGAAAAAAAGACGACUGUUCUCUGUCUCGAGCGGGAAAAUCUCGAGGGGCCCAAGCGAGGGAGAUGGCACUUUCUGUGGCCACCACACUGAAGGCAGAAUCCGGAGACACUCAUUGAGAUUUACAGUGGCUGGGAUGCUGAAGAUGGAUGCAGCUGAGUGUCCCACCGGACAGUCGACAGGACAAGAAGUAUUCGCUCAUGAAUUCAAUUAACUGCACACCGCCACGCUCGAUUGGUCAGAGCUCUGCCCAAUCACGAUCGCUAUCUGUCAUGCUCCCUGCUGGAGCGACAGCAGCACACACAAGAGCAGAGCAGGAGAGAACAGAAAUGAAAAUAGCACCUCCGCUGUCUACUGCACUGCAGAGAUGUGACGUGCUUUUUUUUUUUGUUUGUUUUUGUACGCAUUAAAUUGGUGUAUUAAGUUCAUGUGAUGUUAUAUUACAGUUGAUUGAAAAAAUAAUCUGUAACAAUCACUGGCAGAGUGGAACCCAAAAGCAUGACAAAGUGACAUAAUCUGAAUAAUGACGUUGUUUUAGUCACGUCUGACCUGUGUUAAC